CGGGGUGUAGUUCAUCGGUAGAACGCUCGGCUGGGGGUCGAGAAGUAGGAGGUCCAAUUCCUCUCGCCCCGACCC
rnacentral:tRNA from 1 species